ACUUUUGUUUCUUUGCAGAUAAUGGAUUUAUACCUGACACAAUGCUUGAGGAUGUUAUGAAAGCAUUGGAUUUAGUGUCAGACCCUGAAUAUGUAAAUAUUAUGAAGAGCAAAUUAGACCCUGAAGGAUUAGGAAUCAUCUUACUGGGAACAUUUCUACAAGAAUUUUUUCCUGAGCAGGAAUCUACGAUUCCCGAUUCAUUUACUGUUUAUCACUACAAUGGGUUGAAGCAGUCUAACCACAGUGAAAAGGU